UACGUAGGGUGCAAGCGUUGUCCGGAAUUACUGGGCGUAAAGAGCUCGUAGGCGGUCUGUCGCGUCGGUCGUGAAAACUUGGGGCUUAACCCUGAGCUUGCGGUCGAUACGGGCAUGACUGGAGUUCGGCAGGGGAGACUGGAAUUCCUGGUGUAGCGGUGAAAUGCGCAGAUAUCAGGAGGAACACCGGUGGCGAAGGCGGGACUCUGGGCCGAUACUGACGCUGAGGAGCGAAAGCGUGGGGAGCAAACAGG
rnacentral:rRNA from 1 species